UAAGGAAUAUUGCUCAAUGGGAGAAAUCCUGAAGCAGCAACGCCGCGUGGAGGAUGAAGGGUCUAUGACUUGUAAACUCCUGUAAAGAAGGAAAAAAUUCCCAUUAGAUGGGAGAUGAUGGUACUUCUGGAGUAAGCCCCGGCUAACUACGUGCCAGCAGCCGCGGUAAUACGUAGGGGGCAAGCGUUGUCCGGAUUUACUGGGUGUAAAGGGUGCUCAGGCGGAUUUGUAAGUCAGAGGUGAAAUCUUACAGCUUAACUGUGAAACUGCCUUUGAUACUGCAAGCCUAGAGUAUGGAAGAGAGUGAUGGAAUAUCUGGUGUAGCAGUGAAAUGCGUAGAUAUCAGAUAGAACACCAAUGGCGGAGGCAGUCACUUGGUCCAUUACUGACGCUAAAGCACGAAAGCGUGGGUAGCAAAC
rnacentral:rRNA from 1 species